UCAGUACCCCUGGCGGAAGUGUCGUUAAACAACGCGUCGUCAACUUCACAACCACGACUCUCCGACACAUUACCACAAAUUUCAAGCAAAAAGACGAAAAUAUUCAUAAAACGUAAUUUUUAAGGAAGUAAUGUAAUUUCGAAAUUGUAAAAAAAACCAACAAAAUUAGUAAGAAAACUUAAUUGAUUUUGUUGAACAAAAGACGGAUACGUUUUAAAAUCCUCACUUCAAAGGAUAAAAAGCUGUCGUUGGAGGGUUUCUGAAGAUUUUUCGGUGAUGUCAUAAUCGUAUUAACUGCGAGACGAAGAGUGCGAGGCGUCCGGAUUUUGGGGAUUCCGUGAUAAUUUCCAAAACGAAUUGACUAGACACAAGAUAACGGUUUACAGAUUGAUAAAUGGCAAUGGACCAGCACAAUUUGGUGCUGUGUCGAAGGUGAUCACCGUGCGGUUAUGGGGCCAAGGCUUCAAAGUCGUGGCCCUGCAUCAAAAUCGUCAUCAAAGUCACCAUCAGAUCCAUCGUCAAAGUCGCCACCAUAGGAAACCGUACCAGCGAGAUCGUGAUCAUGAUUCAUCCGCGGGACACCUCGACGAUGAUCGCUUUCGGCGGUUCAGAAGACGAGGUCAUCUUCUCGCUGGAAUCGCUCACGCAAGCAGCCAUAAUAUUUAUUAUGGGUGUGGCGAUCAUCGUUGCGAAUGUCCUAGUCAUUGCUACUUUUGUCAACUAUAGAGGCCAAACUGAUGUCAUCAACUGUUACCUACUAUCAUUAUCCGUCGCGGAUUUACUCUGUGGUUUAUUGGUCGUUCCACUUUCCGUAUAUCCAGCACUAGUUCAACAAUGGGUUUAUGGAAAUGUUGUAUGCCGUAUAGUUGGUUACGUAGAAGUAACGCUUUGGGCGGUAACCGUUUACACCUUUAUGUGGAUAAGUGUGGAUCGAUACUUGGCAGUGAGGAAACCACUUCGAUACGAAACCAUUCAAACCAAAACUAGAUGUCAAUGUUGGAUGGCUUUCACAUGGAUUUCCGCAGCGAUGAUGUGCUGUCCGCCACUAUUAGGUUUCAACGAACCAAAUUUCGACAAAGAAUCCUACAUCUGCAUGUUAAACUGGGGAAAUAUGGCGGCUUAUUCGAUCACUUUGGGGAUUUUGAUCUUAGGUCCCAGUUUGAUUACGAUCAUUUAUACUUACACCUACAUUUUUAAUAUGAUGAGGAAACUGAAAAGCGGGGUUCCAAUCCACGAUAAAGAAUACGCGACGGCGUUGUCGGAGAAUCUGUCGAAUCCGAGUCAUAUUAUGUCGUUUGUACUCGUCGCUGUAUUUUGGAUUUCGUGGACACCGUUUGUUGGGGUCAAAUUGUACGAGUACUUUACUGGUGUUAAGUUCCAAAUGCCGUUCCUUCAUUUUGGUAUUGUUUGGAUUGGAUUUAUGAACUCGUUGUGGAAGUCGUUAAUUUUGAUUUUUUUGAGUCCCCAAUUUCGACUCGCUCUAAGGAUUUUCUGUAUGACGAUUUGUUGUCGAUAUAAAGGACGUAUGCAAGCUGAACUUAUAGAUUUUGGUCGACGUUUUCAUUAAUAAAAAUGGUAUUAAAAAAUUGAUGCCUUAUUUGUAACAAUAAGUAUUAAAGGUAUGGAAGCAGACGACUGACUACCCUUUCCUUUUGGUGGAUGUUUUCCAUCGACCCGAUUUCCUAUAACUGGACUCUUUGUCAGAGACUACGAGUAUAUAAUGGCCAAGAUCCGUCGACUGUAUAACUACUGAAUUAAACAAAACAAAAAAUAAAAUAAAAGAAUAAAAAACUAAUUUAACAAAGCUUACGAAAACAGAAAAUUUAAAAACAUCAAUUGAUAAAACCGUUGUUAUGACUAGAGUUUAUCGUCGUAGCUUAGAUCGUAAAGACAAAAGCAGUCAAUUAUAGUUAUUACAUUCAUAUAUUUGUAUAUUAAUUAAUUUAAUGAUGAAAUUCUCGAUAAAGUAAAAUGAUUAUAUAAUUACUAUUUAGUGAUUUUAGCAGCGCAUUUUACCUCGGAUAUAAAAUCAAAGUGACUAAAAGUAAAAUCAAAAAGUUUUUUAAAGUACAAAUUUUUUCGUUAAGAUCUUAAUCAUCUAUUUUUCCAAAAUCUGAUUACUUUAGUGAUUAUUUUUUUAAUACUGCAUAGGAUAACACCAAUACACACAUCUUUGGUAACUUAAUCAUUUUACUAAUCUUACUUAAAAUUUUAUUAAUUAAUUAAUUACGUGCAUUUAAUGUGAUACCUCUCAAAUGAACAAUAAAUUAUCAGGUCGUUAACAUACGUGUUGCUUAUAUCUUUUUCUUUAAUGUUUAAAUAAUAGAUUUUUCUUCAUCUUUAAGUUAGUUGCUUUUAAUAGACUACUAACCAUGUAUCGUUGCCAAAGAUGAAAUUAUACAUUCCAAUCAAAAAAAAGUAAAACUAAAAACUAUAUAUUCGCAUUUAUUGUACAAUUUAAUGUUAUAGAUGUGAAACAAUAUGGAUAUCAACGAAACCUUUUUAUAAGUGUAAUUUACGAAUUUAGAUCUGUAAGUGAAAAAAAAAUUUUAAUGUUACUAUUAUUGUUGCAGUGUGAGAUGAAGGAUAAAUGAUGAUGUGUUAUGAUUUGGAAAUGAAUAGGAAAUUUAAACAAUCUUUUUAUUCACUAAGAAUUUAUUAUUUUAUCAAAGCUUUAAUACCAGCUGCUAUGGGAAGACCUACUUGAGCUCCUUUUACUGCACCAUUACCCUUCAAAAAGAAAUUUAAACUAAAAUCGGUUAUAAUUUUUGAACAUAAAAAGGGAAAAGUAUAAUUAUGUUAAUUUUAGGCUGAUUACGAAUUUUUUUCAACACUCAAUUUUCUCUUAUUUUUAUAAGGCAUCAAUACAUUAACAAGAUUUAGAUAAACCACAAUAUUUAUCAUGGUUAGAAACAACGUUUGUUUAAUUUAUUUCUUCUUCUUCUCUUUGUUGGGAAAUGUGUACAUACUCCAAGAAAAGUGGUAAAAAAAGUAAAUAGAACGAACUCUAUUAAAUAAAAAAUAUUAAAUGGUAUGGUCAACACUCAACUUUCUCACAUUGAUGAUAAAUUAGCAACCUUUUCUGAUAAAAAAUACAUUUGUUGCAAGUUUAGUUAAUGUGGAAGACUAAGUCACAUGGAGAGCUGGUUUCCGAAAUAUAAGAACUCUAAAUGAAAGAAUGAUAGAUGAUUAUUAAUUAUGGGGAGCGGAUUUCCCCUAUUCUAUAUAUUUAUAACUUCAAUGCUCAUGUUUCUAAAUUUGUUAGGCAGUUGUGCAUUGUACUCACUUUUACCAAAAUCGAAGGAAAACUUGGAUACUUUUUAAAUUAUCACUUAGAAAACAAUCAAGUUUAGCAUUGAUUAAAUUCGAAAUGACCUUCCAGUUGUUUGAGGUUGGGUUAGGAUUAGAUUUAUGAGUUGGAUAUGACCAGUGUUAAGUUAGAUUGUUAUUAAAAGGAAUUAUAAAUGGGUGAGGUUUGACUGGAAUUAGAUUGAUUCCUUUCAGAGUAAAUUUCUGAAUACCAAAUAAAAUAAUUAGAAAAAUUAAGUGGUUUGUAGUCAUGAUUAGAAAAAUUCAUUACAAAACCAUUUCUUCUAAAUCAAUGCUAAUUCAUCAUUGUUAGUUUUUACUGGGUUCAUCUUUAGAUCUGCCUCACAUGACGUAAUCCAACCUCAUAGCAAAUGUUCUGUCGAUUUUUUGGUAACUACUUUUAUGUUGUCUUGGUAAAAAUGUGUUUUGUUAGUGUGGUAUGUAUGUUCUGGCCAACAUUGCUUUUCUAUAAAAGAACAUAGUCUGAGGCUUUUAGAGGUAUUAAGAAGAAAUCGCCAAUUAGUUGCAUUUUACUAAGUGAUAUCUCUCUCUCUACAUAAGACUUAAAUUUAACACAUAUAGAGAAUAAAACAAAAUACAAAGUCAAUCCAAUCCGAUAUUUCGCAAUUUUGAACAAUAUACAUUCAAUGGUUGUCUCUGCAUAAGCCGUGCUUUGGUCGAAUCCUGUUAGCAGUUUUCCAGAUGCGGCAGGGAAGUCAAAAUCAAUUGACUUGCUGAUGUGUUCACGUGUCGGUUUAUUUCCGGGGCUUAUUUCCCCAAUUCCGUUCUAUGUUAAAGUUCUCAUUGAGUAGAGUCUUAGCUGUCUUAUAGUCUACAGCAGGGUUGGGUUGGGUCUAAAUUUGAUCAUGGUGCAUGAAGCUGCUUGAGCUUUGGAAUGUAACUGAGCGUAGAAAGCCAGUGUAUGGGAGCAGUUUUUCUGCAGCCAGUGAUUGUUCGCAUGGUGAAAUUUAUGAUGAGCAGUAUUCGGCAAACUGUAAAAAUCCUAGAGCCGAGUACCGCAGGGUUGAAGCUGUUCUGGGUUCUAUCCAAGAUCACACCUAGGUACUGUGGAGUUGGUUUGUGCGCCACAGGGUGACCACCAAAUUGAAUGUCUAGUUGAUGUGACCUGUUUGUUAUUCUUAGUGAGACCUAAAUCAUACACUGAAUCAUUCAAUUUUGAUAAAAUGAAUUUCUUAAGGACACAUGACUCUUCCAUAUCAAAUCACGAGUUCAAAUUUAUUCUGCAACUUGUUCAUCUUCAGAUAUGCCUCAUAUUUCCAAUCAACCUUUGCGAUGUCCGGGUACAGAUAGUGGUUAGUUAGUGUGCUCUGUAUGUUCUGGUCAAUAUAUUGAAGCUUUGUUCUUUUAAAAGCUCGUCACUCUAGUAUGCACAUAGAAUUCUAAAGCAACUCCAAUUUAACUAGAUUUAGAAUAGAUCUUACAAAUAGAUCUCAAAUCAUCUUUAAACUGUCAUGAAAAGGUUCUUAAAUAAUUCCUAAAAAUACUUUUGUAUGAAAUAAAUAAACUUUUCUUGAAAAUCUGAGAAAAAAUUCGUAAUAAGUAUCUAAAAUAAACUUGAAAAUACUUUUUCUCAACUCGUGCUCAAGGAUGAAACUUUGUACUUGUAUUAUUAAAAAGAUCUUUUUAGUUUACUCACAAUUUUUUUCCAAUUUACUUUCUUUUUCUUCUUACAAUAAACAAUAUUAUUAAUCAUUGCUAUUACAAAUAAUAUUAAUAACAAGACAUUAAAAAUUUUCAUCUUAACAAUUAAACAAUACACUUGAUAAUAACAAUAUGGUUAUUAAGAGUACGUAAAAAAUCAGUUAAAAAAGCACUGCAAAAAAUAAUUAAACAGUCCUAUCAGGUAAUAAUAAAUACAAUUAGAUGUUGUAUAAUUUAUUUAAAAAAAAUACAAAUUUGGGACUUCAACCGAAACUUAUAUUGCUCAAUUUGUUUUUGCUGUUCGUAAAAGGGCGUGCAAAUUAGUUGUAAUAGUACAGUAGAGAAUAAAAAA